GAUUAACGCUAGCGGCAGGCCUAAUACAUGCAAGUCGAACGGCAGCACGGGUAGCAAUACCUGGUGGCGAGUGGCGCACGGGUGCGCAACGCGUAUGCAACCUACCUAUAACCGGGGAAUAGCCUACUGAAAGGACGAUUAAUACCGCAUAAUAUCACUGGACGGCAUCCCCCGGUGAUCAAAAGUACGGUGGUUAUAGAUGGGCAUGCGUGACAUUAGCUAGUUGGUGAGGGAACGGCUCACCAAGGCUACGAUGUCUAGGGGGUCUGAGAGGAUGAUCCCCCACACUGGUACUGAGACACGGACCAGACUCCUACGGGAGACAGCAGUAAGUAAUAUUGGACAAUGGGCGCAAGCCUGAUCCAGCCAUGCCGCGUGAAGGAUGACGGCCCUCUGGGUUGUAAACUUCUUUUAUAUGGGAAUAAACCCCUCGAUUCUUCGGGGGCUGAAUGUACUGUAAGAAUAAGGAUCGGCUAACUUCGUGCCAGCCGCCGCGGUAA
rnacentral:rRNA from 1 species